AGGGACUUGCUUCCUCUUGCAUGUGGAAUAGGCCCAGCUGGSCCAAAAAGGCAUUUUCCGUAUGUUCCCCUGAUGCCUUUGAAGCAGUUAAUGCUGGCUUCUCCCAGGGCAGGUAGUGGACUGGCUGUCCUCAUCUGGUCCUACCUGCCAACCACCUUCACUCCUCCUSCAGGAGGUCCUCACAGACCUGUUUGUGUGUCAGGACUCAGUUUUUGGAAGGGAGGAAACUGGGAGCUGAUUCCAGCCCUGGAUCAGCUGCUUAUUCGAGCAGUACCAGUGGAUCUGACGGGACAGCACCUGGGACAACCCUCUGCCUCCGCAGCCCGUGGAGCAGCUGCCUGAGAGCUGCCUGCAAAGGGCACCUCUCCCGGCAGCUCCCAGGUCUCCCACAUCAGAGCAGCCUGGCUGACCUGCCUGAUGCUCAGAUACGCUGCAUUUUGGGGGGGGGGAUCCCCCUGCAUCCUCCGUUCCCUGCAUCCGCAGAGGCCCUGGGGCUUGGGCGCUUGUCCCAGCAUCGCUGCGGUCCCAAGACUUUGGAGCAAAGCAGGGCCCRAAGCUCACGACUGAUUAUGCCCAACUCCCCACAGCACCCAGCAGAUCCCCUUCCUCCAGCAUCGGGAAUGACCCACGGACCCUGCCGCUCCCCAGAGGCCACUUUAUUCUGGGACCUCAGAUGUCGGGCARAAAAGCAACGUCAGAAUCAGCAUUGCUUGCCCACCACAGUCAGAUGGGUUUCAUCAGCAUGUCCGGGACUCAAGCCUGCUUUCUGCAGCAGGAUGCUUUAGCUAUUCCUGCCGUACCACUGCGGCAGGUCCCCAGUCGUUAAUCGAGCGUGUCAUGAGUUUGCAGUCAUGCCAGUCUCUGCUGAGUCACGCCAGCCGCUCCCAGCGCCGGGCGGCCGGCGAGGGGGCUGCAGCACGCAGAGCCUGGAGGGAGACCGUGACCCCGGGCGAUUUCUGGCUUCUCGCCCCUGCUGCAGCGGGUUUUCGAGGUGCAAAGGCUGUGGCACGCCAAGUGAGCCCUGACGCUCAGCAACAGACUGCCCGGUCGGCAGAGGCUCUGGGAGGGAAGCUCAGGCUGGUCUUGAGUGAACCAGGUGAGUGGGCUCUUUGCUCUGUCGUCGUUCAAGGCUGCACUGUGCACUGGACAGCAGAAGGGCUGAACCUCCCCAGGGUCCCAGUUCCGUGCAGACAGGGACAGGUUUGCCGAUGCUUGCAUGCGCAAACACCCCAUCACCCUCCUCGGCACCAGCUCGUGUCAGCUUCAGCACCCUGACAUGUGCUCUGCCCCAAUGAACUGUGCUCUGCCCCCUUUCCAGAGGGCUAGCACUGAGGUGGC
rnacentral:lncRNA from 1 species